UGAGUAACACGUAUGCAACCUGCCUGCCACAGCCGGAUAAUCGGGAGAAAUUCCGUCUAAUACGGCAUAAUGCAUCGACGGGACAUCCUGUUGGUGCCAAAGGUUAAUUCCGGUGGCGGAUGGGCAUGCGUCGCAUUAGUUAGUUGGCGGUGUAACGGACCACCAAGACGACGAUGCGUAGGGGUUCUGAGAGGAAGGUCCCCCACACUGGUACUGAGACACGGUCCAAACUCCUACGGAAGGCAGCAG
rnacentral:rRNA from 1 species